CGCGUAGGCGGUGAGAUGUGAGAUAUGUGAAAGCCCUGGGCUUAACCUAGGAAGUGCAUAUCAGACUAUCUGACUGGAGUAUAAGAGAGGGUGGCGGAAUUUCCGGUGUAGCGGUGAAAUGCGUAGAGAUCGGAAGGAACGUCAAUGGCGAAGGCAGCCACCUGGCUUAAUACUGACGCUGAGGCGCGAAAGCGUGGGGAGCGAACA
rnacentral:rRNA from 1 species